UACAGAGGGGGCAAGCGUUAUUCGGAAUUAUUGGGCGUAAAGGGCGCGUAGGCGGCCUGGCAAGUGACGGGUGAAAUCCCUCGGCUUAACCGAGGAACUGCCUGUCAGACUGCUGGGCUUGAGACCGGGAGAGGUGAGUGGAAUUCCCAGUGUAGCGGUGAAAUGCGUAGAUAUUGGGAGGAACACCAGUGGCGAAGGCGGCUCACUGGACCGGAACUGACGCUGAGGCGCGAAAGCGUGGGGAGCAAACAGG
rnacentral:rRNA from 1 species